rnacentral:rRNA from 1 species
AUGUCUACAAAGCAGAGUCUAAACAACCACACCGGACCAGAACGCCAUCGAUGUUAUUGUUUCCUGUAUGCUUCAUAUAUGACUCCGGCAAUUCACACUGGAACUGAAAGGGAAAUUCAUGUAGCGCAGUUUGAAUGA